rnacentral:lncRNA from 1 species
AUGGCUUAAGGCUUUGCAACCCGUACUAUGAGUUAACGGUUCCGUUAGAUCGCGGCCUAAGGCUUUUCAACCCAUACUUAAACCUAACGUUGUGUUUAGACCGGACAAGUAUAUUUAUCAGAGAACCAUUGCAACGAAUAUAAAACAUCACUUUUAUUAAAUAUAAUAAAGAUUCGUUACAAGUAAAAUAUUACAGAUGAAUCCAGGCCUAGUGCCAAUAUCGAGUCAAAGACUUUAACUAGUACCGUUUUACAAAAGGAAAGGCAAAAGUACUUCCGGUGCUCCUAACGUCCAGUUUCCAUGCUACCCGGUCUCCCACUAAGGUUUCCUGCAACAAUAGGUGAGUUUAAUGAGUAACCUAUUGUAACUCAGUGAGCCAGGCCCCCAACUAACAAAUACAACCCCUCGCCAUCCCAACCACAAACAAUCUAAGACGAGGAGUUCACCUAACAAUAACACAACAAUAAUAAUCAUCACUCGAGACUUCCCCCGUGAAAACCCGAGUGACUUAACAAGAACAUAAAUAAGAUAAGAAGCAGAAUAUAAUCCACCAUUAGCAUAAUAAUAUAAUAUAUGCUAAGACUCUCUACACCUUCACUACACAUCCUCACUCGAGCUUUUUCAUCAUAUACACAACCAUGGAACACCUAACUCGCAGCCACAAAAGCACACGGGUUAGAACAUCCACCAUAACUGACAUGUAACCCCGAUAAGGUAUCAAAUGACAGAGCAUGCUUUCUAGCAACCUCUCCGUACAGAGCAUGCUUUAUGCAACCUCUCUGCCCAGCCACGUAGGGACAUACUCUAGCAACCUUCCUUGCCGCAAACUAACAUGAAGCACCACCAAGGAUACAACAUGACGGAGCAUGCUUUCUAGCAACCUUCCCGUACAGAGCAUGCUUUAUGCAACCUCUCUGCCAAGCCGCGUAGGGACAUGCUUACGUAACCUUCCUUGCCGCGUAACAUCCUAGCAUUGCUGAUCAGGCAAGCUAUCGACAAAGCUCGAUACUAAACAUUAGUACUAGCAAUCCUGCCUAUAUGGCCUAGGACGCUAAGUACAACACUAACUAGGAACUCAGCCGAUAUGGCCUAGAUCCCGAUCCUCUACUAACUCAACCAUAAUAUUACAUACUUGAAAUUCGGUCUAUAUGACCUAAAUUCCAUAGUACUAACCAAUAACAUCAUCACAAUCCCAGCAUGCAAACAUACAAUAACGCAAUAGCAAUAAUCAUCCAAGCAUGCAAUCAACCAAAGAUAGAUUCCAGAAUACCUAUCUAACCACAACCUAGCGAUAUUAUCUAAGGGUUCGCAUUCGCUAACUAACCAAGCAACCUAACCAUUAGCAUGCUACUACGAUUCCCAAACAAUAACUAAGCAUGCUAUCAACUCAAUCAACCAAACCUCGACUAUUAACUAAUCAAACUGUUACUCAGUUAGACCCGGCCUCCUGCCAUGAUCCAACUUCCAAGUAACAGGAACCUGCAUGAAAACAAGUCAGCAAUCGAUUGCCGUGACUCACAGUGUUUGGUUCGUUGUGGCUUUGACCCUUGAAUUUCCGUGACUCACAGUGUUUGGUUCGUUGUGGCUUUGACCCUUGCCCGAAUCCUCGACCAAAACCCUUUCUUGAACACCUCAAGUGGCCUCCUAUCGCAAAUGACCUCAAUAACGUGCCUAACCUUGAAUGGCCUCCCUGGAACAACUCUCAACUCAAACAGAAACUUCUAUAGGCGUCGAUCCAAAACUUGUGUAGUAACUGAUCCCGAAAACUCUUGAAAACUAUCGAAACCUCUUGCUUUCUCUCUUUACUUUCUUUCACGUUUUUAAACUGAUCUGAAGUUGUCUGGAUGUGUUGAAAUGUGAAGGUGGGCGUGCCUAUUUAUAGAAUACAGCAGCCAAUCAGAUUCAGGUCGGUGGCAGCCCGUGUGUCGGCUCACAUGGCUCAGGUUGCAUGCGCGGCGGGACCUCGUGCUCCACAUGUCUUUCAGCAUGGCCGGGGCUCAUGCAAAGUGACACCUCUUAUCCUUCCUGGACGACUAGAUGUUCAUCAGCAUGUCUGGAUCACAUGCACGGCAACACACGGUCCCCACAUGUCGAUCAGCAUGCUGCGGUUGCAGAUAUGGCGACAUCUCGUUCUUCUGUGUGUCAGUCCGUAUGUGCUGCUUCCAUGCUUGCCGACACCUCGUGCUUGUGUAGACAGACAGCUUAUCAUAUGGUUGACACCACGUCCUGAUGACAUGCAUUGAGACGCCUCCAGCUUCUCGGUCGAUUUACGCGAUCUUGACCCUUCCGGCAUAUUUUUGGCCCACGAUUAAUCCCAAAUAUUUUCCUGCUCCCGUUCUGACGUUCGGAAUAUUUUUAAUAAACUCCAGACUCCAUUAUAACCUUGACGGUAAUAUUUCCCGAGCCUCCGGCUUCCUCAAAGAAUUCCAUAAUACCAAAAUUAGGGAUUUUGGUAACUUCGGGUUUUUUCGGCUUGCUUCGUCCCCAUCGUGCUUGCUUCCUGUCAUGCUUAAUUUCUGUCCUGCUCCCAAAUUAUGAUGUCUCUGAAUUAAUAUUCCGCUAAUAUGAAGUUUUGCGGAUUACUUCGUGGUUAAGAAACGUCGGGUUUCAAAAACGUCGAGCUUCUAAAACCAUCGUCCUUGAAAAAUGUGAUGCUUCCAAAACCUCCGUCUGAUCAAUCUGAGACAUCUUCUAACUAUUGUUGAGGAACUUAUUCGAGUCAUAGUUAACUCACGAUCAAUUCUUCGACCACCUCGUUCUUCAAAAUUUCCCGAUCGAUCUUUAUCGCCCGCGAUUCGACCACCAAGUUGGUGUUCGACCAAUCUUCUGUCUCGAUCAUUCUUAUCCCGAAGGGCGGGUUAUCACAUUCUCCCCCCCCCCCCCCCCCUAAAANNNNNNNNNNNNNNNNNNNNNNNNNCCCCCCCCCCCUUAAUAGAACUCAUCCUCCAAUUCUUAGUUGCGCAAUCGCUUAUCGUUACGACAUUCUCAACUCGUCUCCAUAUAUCUUUACGCUGUCCACAACGGUUCCUUGAGUGUCUUCCUCAAGGUCUCCUCAAUUGUCUUAAUAUCUCUUCACUGGAAUGAUCACCGAGUCGUCCUCUUGCCUCUACUCUGCUGGAACACUCAUUCGGUAUAAUACUAUCUUGUCAUCUCGAUUGAUACCAUACUCGUACUUAGUCACUUCUUCAACUUGAUUUCUUGUGAUGAUCAAGUCUUCCAUUUCUAUCAUGUCCUUUCGAUAGAUAUCUCCUCAGAACCAAACAUGUACCCAACAUAGCCACCAAUCUUCAAGGGUUUGGUCUUCGGGGGUUAUUACCUGCCACAACGUUCCUACACACAACAAGAACACAAACCACAAGUUCUCGUGCAAAAGCACAGAACGUCUAUUAAAAAAACUAAUAUUUUCCCAACACAUCAGAACCAAUCAGGCAAAUAAACACUCAAACAAGGAAGUUAAAACCCCUACUUACCUUGUAGGCCUGAAGGUUAAGGUUUUUCUAAAGAUCUAGAUCCUAUUUCUUCUCUUUCUCGGGGGUCUGUCUUCCAGUAGGGCAAGUGGGGAAUGUUCUUCUGCUAAUGCAACUUUCUCUGCCAUGCAGUGUCGAGCAAUGUGACCAACCUCUCCACAAUAAAAACAUCCUUGGUUUCCAUCCCAAGAUAUUGAGUCAUGGCUUCUUUUUCUAGAUAGGCAUUGCUGACUGGAAUCCUUGAACUGAACUAUAUGUUUUCCCUUCUGGCCACUAACGCCUUUUCUUUUUGAUUCAUACUUGGCUUCUGCUGCUACCGCAACUUCCACAUUUACGGCCCUCUCGACUAAGUCUGUGAGAUUUCCAUAGUUGCCUACCGCGACUCUACUACCUAGUUCAGAUCGCAAUCCAUACAUGAAGUUUCAGAUCAUUGUUGCUUCGUUCUCUUGGCCGUUAAAUACAUAGCAACGAAGACUUGUGAAUUCCGCUUUAUAUUCUCGUACUGUCCUAUCCCCUUGGGCAAGAUUGAUGAACUGCCUCUCCAAUCGAUGUCUUGCCUCGGGUGGGAAGUACUUCCUUCUGAACUCCUUUUGAAACACGUCCCAAGAUUUAAUAUGAUUUCCAUGUUGACGUUCCACGCUUUCCCACCAGUUACGAGCAUCUCCUUGUAGAUAGUAAACCGCCACUCUCUUCUUGUAUUUUUCUGGACAGAUCAUGGCUUCAAAGUUUAUAUCCAUCAUGUGCAUCCACUCUUCUGCCUCAAACGUGUUGAUUCCUCCUUUGAACUUAUAUGUUUCCAAACCCUUCAUCGUCUUCAAGAUCUUCAGAUACUCCAUGUUUAAGGAUUCCUCAGGUUGUGCAAUCCUUGAAACUUGGCGUAGCAUUUGAGUAAACAAAUCUACCAGAAUUCCCAGUGGAAUUUCAGCCUCUUGAUUCCCUCUUCGUCUUGGUUGUUCAUUUGAAUAUGAACUUGCUGGCAACGGUGAUUGACUAUGUCCCUGACUUCUUGAAAACUGAUUUCCAUAACGUUGACUCAUAUCUCGGUGAUCCAUUCUGCCCCUUGUAGAAAACCCUUGUUCUGAAUCCCCAAAUGCUCGACCAUCUCUUGACGACCAUCCCCACUGCCUACCUUGACUUGCACCCCGAUUAUUCAUCUACAACCAACGAAAAGGUAAAUCAUAAAUUUCUUACCCAGAAUGGCUGGACGUGACCCGAAUACUCUAAAUGCCUUUCAAAUAUUUUAUGACUCGAUAAAAUAUUUGAAAACCGAUUAAAAACGCAGGUUCUGAAAGCAUGGACGAAACCAUGCUCUGAUACCACCUCUGUAACACCCCCGAACCGUCCUAGGCAUAGGUCGAGCCAUCGGCCAACAAUAAAAUAAGAACAUGACCGACGGACGACCUACACCAAGGGUUGGAGAUGAAAGGCCAAUCGGCCAGCCAACAAUCAAACAAGAACAUGACUGACCGUCCAACCCAACAGCAUGGUCCGGAAGCGCUACAUGACGGGCUAGGGACAAUCCAGUCAAAGUCACAGAACUUAAUCCGCAACAUCUACCAGUUCAUCCCCUAACACGUCCCGCUAAAUCAUGGCUUAAGGCUUUGCAACCCGUACUAUGAGUUAACGGUUCCGUUAGAUCGCGGCCUAAGGCUUUUCAACCCGUACCUAAACCUAACGUUGUGUUUAGACCAGACAAGUCUAUUUAUCAGAGAACCAUUGUAACGAAUAUAAAACAUCACUUUUAUUAAAUAUAGUAAAGAUUCGUUACAAGUAAAAUAUUACAGAUGGAUCCAAGCCUAGUGCCAAUAUCGAUUCAAAGAAUUUAAGUAGUACCGUUUUACAAUAGGAAAGGCAAAAGUACUUCCGGUGCUCCUAACGUCCAGCUUCCAUGCUACCCGGUCUCCCACUAAGGUUUCCUGCAACAAUAGGUGAGUUUAAUGAGUAACCUAAUGUCACUCAGUGAGCCAGGACCCCAACUAACAAAUACAACCCCUCGCCAUUCCAACCCCAAACAAUCUAAGACGAGGAGUUCACCUAACAAUAACAACAAUAAUAAUCAUCACUCGAGAAUUCCCCAGUGGAAACCCAAGUGACUCAACAAGAACAUAAAUAAGAUAAGCAGCAGAAUAUAAUCCACCAUUAGCAUAAUAAUAUAAUAUAUGCUAAGACUCUCUACACCUUCACUACACAUCCUCACUCGAGCUUUUUAAUCAUAUACACAACCAUGGAACACUUAACUCGCAGCCACAAAGGCACACGGGUUAGAACAUCCAACAUAACUGACAUGUAUCCCCGAUAAGGUAUCACAUGACGGAGCAUGCUUUCUAGCAACCUCUCCGUACAGUGCAUGCUUUAUGCACCCUCUCUACCCAGCCGCGUAGGGACAUACUCUAGCAACCUUCCUUGCCGCAAACUAACAUGAAGCACGCACCAAGGAUACAACAUGACGGAGCAUGCUUUCUAGCAACCUCCCCGUACAGAGCAUGCUUUAUGAAACCUCCCUGCCAAGCCGCGUAGGGACAUGCUUACGUAACCUUCCUUGCCGCAUAACAUCCUAGCAUUGCUGAUCAGGCAAGCUAUCGACAAAGCUCGAUACUAAACAUUAGUACUAGCAAUCCGGCCUAUAUGGCCUAGGACGCUAAGUACAACAUUAACUAGGAACUCAGCCUAUAUGGCCUAGAUCCUGAUCCUCUACUAAGUCAACCAUAAUAAUACAUACUUGAAAUUCGGUAUAUAUGACCUAAAUUCCAUAGUACUAACCAAUAACAUCAUCACAAUCCAUGCAUGCAAACAUAUAAUAACGCAAUAGCAAUAAUCAUCCAAGCAUGCAAUCAACAAAAGAUAGAUUCCAAAAUACCUAUCUAACCACAACCUAGCGAUAUUCCAAGGGUUCGCAUUCGCUAACUAACCAAGCAACCUAACGAUUAGCAUCCUACUACGAUUCCCAAACAAUAACUAUGCAUGCUAUCAACUCAAUCAACCAAACCUCGACUAUUAACUAAUCAAACUGUUACUCAGUUAGCCCCGGCCUCCUGCCAUGAUCCAACUUCCAAGUAACAGGAACCUGCAUGAAAACAAGUCAGCAAUCGAUUGCCGUGACUCACAGUGUUUGGUUCGUUGUGGCUUUGACCCUUGCCCGAAUCCUCGACUAAAAACCUUUCUUGAACACCUCAAGUAGCCUCCUAUCGCAAAUGACCUCAAUGACGUGACAAACCUUGAAUGCCCUCCCUUGAACAACUCUCAACUCAAACAGAAACUUCUGUAGGCAUCGAUCCAAAACUGAUGUAGUAACUGAUCCCGAAAACUCUUGAAAACUUUCAAAACCUCUUUCUUUCUCUCACGUUUUUAAACUGAUCUGAAGUGGUCUGGAUGUGUUGAAAUGUGAAGGUGGGCGUGCCUAUUUAUAAAAGACAUCAGCCAAUCAGAUUCAGGUCGGUGGCAGCCCGUGUGUCGGCUCGCAUGGCUCCGGUUGCAUGCGCGGCGGGACCUCGUGCUCCACAUGCGACAUCUCGUUCUUCUGUGUGUCAGUCUGCAUGUGCUGCUUCCAUGCGUGCCGACACCUCGUGCUUGUGCAGACAGACAACUUAUCAGAUGGUUGACACUACGUCCUGAUGACAUGCAUUGAGACACCUUGAGCUUCUCGGUCGAUUUACGCGAUCUUGACCCUUCCGACAUACUUUCGGCCCGCGAUAAAUCCGAAAUAUUUUUCUGCUCCCGUUCUGAUGUUCGAAAUAUUUUUAAUAAACUCCAGAAUCCAUUAUAACCUUGACGGUAAUAUUUCACGAGCCUCAGGCUUCCUCGAAGAAUUCCAUAAUACCAAAAUUAGGGUUUUUGGUAAAUUCGGGUUUUUCCGUCUUGCUUCGUCCCCAUCGUGCUUGCUUCCUGUCAUGCUUAAUUCCUGUCCUGCUUCCAAAUUAUGAUGUCUCUGAAUUAAUAUUCCGCUGAUACAAAGUUUUGCGGAUUACUUCGUGGUUAAGAAACGUCGGGUUUCAAAAAUGUCGAGCUUCUAAAACCAUCGUGCUUCAAAAAUGUG